rnacentral:rRNA from 1 species
UAGGGAAUCUUCCGCAAUGGACGCAAGUCUGACGGAGCAACGCCGCGUGAGUGAAGAAGGAUUUCGGUUCGUAAAACUCUGUUGUUAGAGAAGAACAGCGCAUAGAGUAACUGUUAUGCGUGUGACGGUAUCUAACCAGAAAGCCACGGCUAACUACGUGCCAGCAGCCGCGGUAAUACGUAGGUGGCAAGCGUUGUCCGGAUUUAUUGGGCGUAAAGCGAGCGCAGGCGGUCAAUUAAGUCUGAUGUGAAAGCCCCCGGCUCAACCGGGGAGAGGCAGUGGAAACGUGUUGACUAGAGUGCAGAAGAGGUGGGUGGAAUUCCAUGUGUAGCGGUGAAAUGCGUAGAUAUAUGGAGGAACACCGGUGGCGAAAGCGACUCUCUGGUCUGUAACUGACGCUGAGGCUCGAAAGCGUGGGUAGCAAACAGG